rnacentral:lncRNA from 1 species
UCCUGGGCUUGCACUGAUAUCGUCUUGUACCGUUUCUAGGUACAACUCAUAUCAAUGUUUUUCAUACAAUAUGAAAUACAUAAAUCACCUUUCUACGUAUGCAUAAAGGAUUCAAUUUACGCAUUAUUUCUUUGGGAGUCAAAGGGGUACGUUCCCUUUGAGAAGGGCAACUUGCUAGUCUCACUAGAAUCGUCAUUCUUAUUGAAGUUUAUCAUCAUAUGAGAAACUUCCUAGUAUCCAUUGUCUAUUAUUAGGGAUUGAUAUAAUCCAAUUAUAUCAUGAAAUAUAUCAUUAUAGAUUUCCAUCCCACGUACAUAGACUAUAUCUCCCAUAUACAUUCUAUCUUCAUAUAAUGUAUUAAAGUCAUAACUUUAACAAAGAAGUAUUCUUUUCAUUUCCAAAAUUAAUAUAUCAUAUAUAUUUAUAUUUUAGGAACAUGAUUAACUCCCACUAAUCUUUUGUAAAACUAAUAAACAAAAGAUUCAUUUACAUCUUUAUGAGAAAUCAAACGAUUUGAUCCUUUUCUCAUAAAAUGCAAAUAGCUCCCACUAACUUGCUAAGAUCCAUGAUGGAUGGAUCUCUACAACUUACAUGUCUUGUGAUUAGUAGUUUUACACAUAUAUUAUCAAGACUAUCUUAAUAAUGGUUUCGGAAACCCAUAUUAUGUCAAAACAUUGAAUCACCAUUUUAGUUGUAGCUAGCAAUCUUCGAAUUAAUUGAAAACUAAGACUACGUCAAAAAUGGUUCCUUUAAAGUCAACCAUUCUCUUUGAUUGUAGUCACCUUAAGCUACCAAUUAGCUUUGAAGGUUUCAUUAUUUUCGAGUCAAAUGGUACUUUACCAUUUCCUUGAGUAUAUAUCGUAUAUGCACUCAAUGUAUUCAUAAAGUUCAAAACCAUUCAACUGAGACGGUUUAUAAAUCCUUAUCGACUACCUUGGAGCUUGUGGUAUAGGAACUAGGUUGUUAUAUUUGUUGAUUACUUUCUUGUCUCUCAAAGAACCCAUUCUUUGAGUUCUAUCUCUUGUUCAUUUGCUUUUAGGCAAAUCACAUUGUAGAAUUACAAUGAACUACCCAACAAAACAACAUUUGUUAGUUGGUUUAUAGAAGUGAUAUCCAAAAGUUAUUUUAAGGAUAUCCUACAAGAUUGUUAUCAAACAAAUAUUGCUUGUUAGCACACAACCCCAAAUCUUUAACAUGCUUAAGAUUUGUCUUUCUUUCCAACUACAUCUUAUGGAGUUAUGAAAAUAUUGGAAGAUCUUCUCAUUGACAAUCAUAUUGUUUUUAGAAGUAUAUAUCCUAUAUAUGGGUAAUAGAUAACAUUUAACGAACUAAAUCUUAUUCUUGUUCGUUCUUCUCCUAAUGGAGAAAUAUAUUAUCUUAUGAUGCUAUUUUCCUUGAUAUCUUUCAAGGAAACUUAUCUAAAGUGUUACCUUUUCCUUGGAUCAAAUCUAAGGAGGUAAAUACUUUAGAUGUCUUACUCAUCAACUUACAUUACUUGAAUUUCUUUGAAACAUUUUGCAAAGUAUUCGGACUUGUGUUUAUUCAAAAUAAACUAUAGUCCAACCGAGAGUGAUCUUCGGUGAAUGUUAUUCAACAUGAGUAGUAUUAUGUUUGUGGACAAGUGCCACUAACAUCUAAGUGAAUUAACCUCAACAACUUUGUGAUUCUUUCUUCUUUCCAAAAGAAUAAAGAUUCGAACAUUUCACCUCUAUACAAUUUUAACAAGAAGGUAUUGGAUCCGGAUCUAACGAUCCAAAGCAUCCAUCUUUCACCAACUCAUAACUUAUGUUUUAGAGGUAUCACAACUUUAGUUGAGAUUAGUCACUACCUUGCAACCUUUUGGGUUUUAAGCAUCAUUAUUUUCUAAACAGUUAACACCACCAUAUUAUCUCUACUAUAGAGACAAUUAAUUAGAUUACCAUAAUC